UUCGGAGGGACCCUGGGUGCUCAUUCGAGACAGUAAUGCACAACAUAGUUGUCCACCUUGCUGCACAGGGACAAUGUACCAUGGGAUGAAGACUUCAGCACAGCUCAGUGGGUCACCUGAAACCAGAAUUGAACUCCUCAGGUUGAAGGGCGUGACUGAAUGAUUGAGAAACCACCGUACCACAGACGACUGUCUUUGCUUUGUCGGCUGCUUGGCACCUGACCAAGGAAUUCUGAUUUCCUUCGAGUGUUUUCUUAAAUCUGUGGCAAUCUAAUAGACACUAAAGACAAACAGGUUUUCUGUGUAAAGAAACACUUACACAGAGGGAAAACCUAAUACCAUUGUGCUGCUAACAGAACAAAGCAAUAAAAUGACUUCUAAUGACAGGCUGCUGCACCCAGAGGUCAGGGCUUCCUUCCCUCAGCCAUCACCAGAGAUGCUUCGUCGUCCUGCAGUAGAUGGGAAAUGACACAGAGACCCACAACUGGACAAUGGACAGAGGAUCUGAGACCACUUCACGCAAAUGUACUGAUCACCAGAGAUUUGUGUGUUCAUGAUGAACAUGAUCCAAAGAACACUUUAAAAAUAUUCCAGGCAACGAGGUCUCAAUGUGCACUAGUGAAGUUCUAGACAAGAACGCACGAAGUGAAGAAUCCUGGGAGAGCUUACAAGAACACAGGAAGUGAAGGGUCCUGAAGAGCAUGCAAGAACGCAGGAAGUGAAGGAUCCUGGGAGAGCUUACAAGAACACAGGAAGGGAAGGAUGCUGGGAGAGCAUAGGCCGUUCUAGUGGUUCAUUCUUCACACAUUUACAGAGCUUGGUCCUCUGCAACCCAGCUGAAGAAUGAAGGCACCGUAGAGCAAAGAAAGGUCUGGGAUGCUGAAAAGAGAGCAGAUCCCGAUUCUUGAGAUUUGAAGAACAAGUGGCCGGUCUCUGGGGCUCCAUCAUCACUUCCCAAAUCUACCUGGCAGGGAGGCUCUAGAG
rnacentral:lncRNA from 1 species